rnacentral:misc_RNA from 1 species
GAUGAAGAACGUAGUGAAAUGCGAUAAGUAAUGUGAAUUGCAGAAUUCAGUGAAUCAUCGAAUCUUUGAACGCACAUUGCGCCCCCUGGUAUUCCGGGGGGCAUGCCUGUCCGAGCGUCAUUGCUGCCCUCAAGCACGGCUUGUGUGUUGGGCUUCCGUCCCUGGCAACGGGGACGGGCCCAAAAGGCAGUGGCGGCACCAUGUCUGGUCCUCGAGCGUAUGGGGCUUUGUCACCCGCUCCCGUAGGUCCAGCUGGCAGCUAGCCUCGCAACCAAUCUUUUUAACCAGGUUGACCUCGGAUCAGGUAGGGAUACCCGCUGAACUUAAGCAUAUCAAUAAGCGGAGGA